rnacentral:lncRNA from 1 species
GACAGUUCAUGAUCUACUUAUUUGGUCGAUGAAAACAGCUAAUUCCUUCUGUAGUAUCUCUUCAGCCUGGGUCUGUCGCAAUCACAUUGAAGCACCCAAUUUAGUGCCCCCCUCCUCUCUGGUAUUUGGAUGCUGCCCCAAGAUUCUAUAGUUUGUAUAGGUUGAUGUCCUCCUUCGGCGAGACAACCUUCGUUCUACCAAGGAUUGAUAUUGCUUAUAAUGAAUGCUUUCAUAAAUUUCGAUUAUAUUACCAUAAAAACUCCAAGGCAACGUCUAUUUUUGCAGUGGGGAUCACAAACCCUACUUCGGGCGCUCCAUUAUGUUCAAACACCAUUGAUAAGUAGAUAUCUAAGUCGAAGUUGCUGAGUUUAGAGAUGACGUUGCUACUAAAUGUUCAUUGGGUACAAUUCCGUCACCGCUGAAAAAAGCUCAAAUCUAAAGUGCCAAACAAAUGUACUCUUUUCUUUUUCAACAAAUGUUUAUCAGCCAGCAAGUAUAUUUCUAGCAGCA